rnacentral:rRNA from 1 species
GUAGGUGGCAAGCGUUGUCCGGAAUUAUUGGGCGUAAAGCGCGCGCAGGCGGUCCUUUAAGUCUGAUGUGAAAGCCCACGGGCUCAACCGUGGAGGGUCAUUGGAAACUGGGGGACUUGAGUACAGAAGAGGAAAGCGGAAUUCCAAGUGUAGCGGUGAAAUGCGUAGAGAUUUGGAGGAACACCAGUGGCGAAGGCGGCUUUCUGGUCUGUAACUGACGCUGAGGCGCGAAAGCGUGGGGAGCAAACAGGAUUAGAUACCCUGGUAGUCCACGCCGCAAACGAUGAGUGCUAAGUGUUAGGGGGUUUCCGCCCCUUAGUGCUGCAGCUAACGCAUUAAGCACUCCGCCUGGGGAGUACGGCCGCAAAGGCUG